UAUUGUAUUAAGGUACUAGAAUAUUUGAGGGAAAAGAAAAAACUGGCAAUUCGACAGGAAGCUUUUUAAUGAUGCAAGAUAACUUACGGACAGAAUAAAUUCAACAUACAUUCCCUGUUUAACUUCUUUUGCCACCUAAAGGGGACCUGGAAUUUUAACUUUCCUAUUUGAUCUAAACUCAAAGAAAGCAGGAAGACGCUACAUAUGCGAAUGUUUACUUAUUGCUGAACUCAGGGCUGCAGGAAGUCAGCUACUAAAAAGUGGUUACAUUACGCCUAGAUAUUUAUAAACCAACUGCAACUAGUGACCCAGGAUUCAAUUACAACAUCAUCCCUCAUAUUUCAGCAUAUGGGCAAAUUACCAGUGGAGUCAAGAAUAAAUUCAUUCUGCCCUACUGGCGCUUUAGAUCGGGUUGCACAAUCCCGGGGCAAAACUGCCUUCGCCUAGCCCUAAAAGCAUCAGGUACUGUAGUAAGUUAACGUCAGGACGUUUUAAAGCGAGACGGAAACUCAAGAGUUGCCUGAACCAAUUUAGCCAGCCCAUAAUCCCGAAUUCAGGAAUUUGUCACGUCACUUGAGAUCAGAAUGAAAUUAAGUUUUGAUCCCUUUGAGAUCUCUUAGCGCACAAAGUCAGGCUCCUAUCACUGCAAGGGGAAUCCGACCCUGGCUCGAGAAAAACUUGUGGAACUCGUGUCCUUUCCGCCCACCGUGGGGGGGCCGCACCGGUCGGAUCGGGCGAGGAGCCCGGGCGCUAGUUUGGGGGCGCAGCGGGGCCCGGCGGGGGCGGCGAGCGCGCGUCCCCCCGCCCGCUCAGGCGGCGUCGAGGCGCGAGCAGCUCAGCCAGCCUUGCAGAGGGAGCUCUCGGCAGCUCUGGGGUCCCUCUACUCGCAGCCGCAGCAGCGCCGCCUGCGCCACUCGGUGGAGACGGACACCAGCGGCGGCGACGCGCGGACUGGGAGCGACCGCGGAGCAGCCGGGCGGCGGGGGACGCUCGCAAGGCCGCAGGGAAAUGGUGAUGUGUUCUACUUCAUGAAAUUGGCCCCAAAGACCAAGAAACGGAAAGCCAAACCAACAGGAUAGGCUGUUUCAUGCUGGACAGAAACAAGCUUUGAAUACAUGAGGAAGAAGAGCGGGAGACUGGAGGAAAGGUAAGGUUAGAAGAGGGCAAAAGGAAAAGAGG